AUUGAACGCUGGCGGCAUGCCUUACACAUGCAAGUCGAACGGUAACAGGUCUUCGGAUGCUGACGAGUGGCGAACGGGUGAGUAAUACAUCGGAACGUGCCCGAGAGUGGGGGAUAACGAAGCGAAAGCUUUGCUAAUACCGCAUACGAUCUGAGGUAGAAAGUGGGGGACCUUCGGGCCUCACGCUAUUCGAGCGGCCGAUGUCUGAUUAGCUUGUAGGUGGGGUAAAGGCUCACCUAGGCGACGAUCAGUAGCGAGUCUGAGAGGAUGAGCCGCCACACUGGGACUGAGACACGGCCCAGACUCCUACGGGAGGCAGCAGUGGGGAAUUUUGGACAAUGGGCGAAAGCCUGAUCCAGCCAUGCCGCGUGUCUGAAGAAGGCCUUCGGGUUGUAAAGGACUUUUGUCGGGGAGGAAAUCCCCAGCGUUAAUACCGCUGGGGGAUGACAGUACCUGAAGAAUAAGCACCGGCUAACUACGUGCCAGCAGCCGCCGUAAUAC
rnacentral:rRNA from 1 species